rnacentral:lncRNA from 1 species
GGGCCGAUGGAAGGAUGCAUACCAACAAGGUGUUACAUCCAGAGGUGGCUCUUUGCUAUCUAAAUUGGACUUAACCGAACCUGGAAGCACAAUGUCUGAUGAACAUUCUUCUCCCACUCCCUAGAUUUUUGGUGUUUGCUCUCUGGCCCCCCAGAAAGAGAGAACAUAGUAGCUUAAAGAAACAGAUGGCACAGACAAGAAUUUGUGUUCGAAUCUCGGAGGAGAAAGUCUGUAUGUAGCAUGGAUUUAAGAAGAAACGAAAAAUCAAAAGCUUUCCUAAAACCUCACUGGAAUCAACUCAUUUGGCAUGAGUGGAUUUCCAUGGAAACUGGAAAAAGGGCUGAGUUUGGGCUGAUGCAGCAUGACCAAAGAGCUAGAGGCAGAAGAGAACAUGGUGACAAGAUUUCCCACUCUGGAAUAUUAGGAAGAGGUUUGGACUUCCAUAGACCAUGGAAUUAGGUGUUUAUCCAAGUUAGAAUAAGUCUCCAGGGAGCAAGGAGCUUCCCAGAUCACAUCUAGGCUGCAAAUGAAUGCUUUGUUUCUUUCAUAUAUUUUAAUUUCUAAUAAAUUACUUUGAAAUGGAGUGCGAAAGUGUAAGUUUUACUUGCCCUAUUUUAAAAUCAUAUCCCUGAGUGUUUCUUCCAAAUUUAGAUAAUAGCAAUGAUAGCAAAUAUUUAUUGUGACUCACAAUGA